AUGGACUGUGGGCCAACUAGGUUCGUACCCCCUAGUCCAGGACACCAGCGUGAAGCCCUUGGAAAAUGGUUCCUCAGGAAUGUGCGGCUCGAAGCAUGUCGGGCCGGUAGAACUUUCCCCCUUCAAGGCCAGGGACCGUGCCAGCCGCUCGAUACGGUGGCGAGCGUCUUGCUCGUCAUGAGGGGCCCGCGGCCCCAGCCGCUCACUUAUCGCAGGGCGCGCAGCCGGCCCUACGAAUGCCGGCUGGCCCCAAUGUGCAGGUGGGGGCUGCCGUGCCGGCCAGUGGUGUGCUCCGACAGCCGGCUCGUUCACACGGCUGCUGACAGUCGGCGGGUCGCGGAUACCUCUGCUCCGGUUGCCCCGCAGCCGGCUUCUUGUUGCCGUCCGACAAAGAUGCUUGUUGUGUCGGCUGAGGGGCCCCAGCCGCCCGCCGGUCGGCCAGCUCGAGAGGAGGGGUCCCAGAGUGAGAAGCAGAUGACUGUUGAGGCAGUACCGAUUGUGCCUGCUGCUGGUUCGCGGUAG
rnacentral:rRNA from 1 species